AUCUGGGCGGCGGAAUUCAGGAUGGUCGAGCGAGUCUCGCGCUCGAGCGGCCAUUUGAUAUUUCCGUCGCCGUUGCAGACGUCGCGACCUGUUUGUCGUCGGUCCUUGCUCGGAGGAAUCCGCGAUCGAGUUCGUUGCGGGGCGCGUUUCGGCGUGUCUCGCGAUGAAGACGCGGCUCUCUGGCUGACGACGGACAGUAAGCAACGGUGGCCGGCGUGGUGUCUCGCACUCCGCGUCCGGUGCCGGUCAGCGACGAUUUCUUCGGGCCUCUUUCCGACCCGUCUUGAAACACGGACCAAGGAGUCUAACAUGCGCGCGAGUCGCGGGGUUUCGAGCGUGCCACGGUGCGCUCGUUACUUCCGAAACCCGUACGUUGAAGGCGUAAUGAAAGUGAACAGGGAAGAUGGCGUUCCGAGUCCACGAACCGUGAUCGAGUAUCGCGGCCGGACGCCCGCACUCCCGGGGCGUCUCAAUGGCUCGUCGCGGAUGCGGACGGUCGUUCUUCGGGGCGGCCGUCGGUCUGCGACGGACCGA
rnacentral:rRNA from 2 species